rnacentral:rRNA from 1 species
AUUGAACGCUGGCGGCAUGCCUUACACAUGCAAGUCGAACGGCAGCGCGGACUUCGGUCUGGCGGCGAGUGGCGAACGGGUGAGUAAUACAUCGGAACGUACCCUGUUGUGGGGGAUAACUAGUCGAAAGAUUAGCUAAUACCGCAUACGACCUGAGGGUGAAAGUGGGGGACCGCAAGGCCUCACGCAGCAGGAGCGGCCGAUGUCUGAUUAGCUAGUUGGUGGGGUAAAGGCCCACCAAGGCGACGAUCAGUAGCUAGUCUGAGAGGACGAUCAGCCACACUGGGACUGAGACACGGCCCAGACUCCUACGGGAGGCAGCAGUGGGGAAUGUUGGACAAUGGGGGCAACCCUGAUCCAGCAAUGCCGCGUGUGUGAAGAAGGCCUUCGGGUUGUAAAGCACUUUUGUCCGGAAAGAAAUCGCGCUGGUUAAUACCUGGCGUGGAUGACGGUACCGGAAGAAUAAGCACCGGCUAACUACGUG